AGAGUUUGAUCCUGGCUCAGGAUGAACGCUAGCGGCAGGCUUAACACAUGCAAGUCGAGGGGUAUAGUUCUUCGGAACUAGAGACCGGCGCACGGGUGCGUAACGCGUAUGCAAUCUACCUUUUGCAGAGGGAUAGCCCAGAGAAAUUUGGAUUAAUACCUCAUAGUAUGUGAGAAUGGCAUCAUUUUCACAUUAAAGUCACAACGGCAAAAGAUGAGCAUGCGUCCCAUUAGCUUGUUGGUAAGGUAACGGCUUACCAAGGCUACGAUGGGUAGGGGUCCUGAGAGGGAGAUCCCCCACACUGGUACUGAGACACGGACCAGACUCCUACGGGAGGCAGCAGUGAGGAAUAUUGGACAAUGGGCGCAAGCCUGAUCCAGCCAUGCCGCGUGCAGGAUGACGGUCCUAUGGAUUGUAAACUGCUUUUGUACAGGAAGAAACACUGGUUCGUGAACCAGCUUGACGGUACUGUAAGAAUAAGGAUCGGCUAACUCCGUGCCAGCAGCCGCGGUAAUACGGAGGAUCCAAGCGUUAUCCGGAAUCAUUGGGUUUAAAGGGUCCGUAGGCGGUUUAGUAAGUCAGUGGUGAAAGCCCAUUGCUCAACGGUGGAACGGCCAUUGAUACUGCUAGACUUGAAUUAUUAGGAAGUAACUAGAAUAUGUAGUGUAGCGGUGAAAUGCGUAGA
rnacentral:rRNA from 1 species